UACGUAGGGUGCGAGCGUUAAUCGGAAUUACUGGGCGUAAAGCGUGCGCAGGCGGUUAUUUAAGUCAGGUGUGAAAGCCCUGGGCUUAACCUAGGAAUUGCGCUUGAGACUGGAUAGCUUGGAGUGCGGCAGAGGGAGGUGGAAUUCCACGUGUAGCAGUGAAAUGCGUAGAGAUGUGGAGGAACACCGAUGGCGAAGGCAGCCCCCUGGGUCAAGACUGACGCUCAUGCACGAAAGCGUGGGGAGCGAACAGG
rnacentral:rRNA from 1 species